rnacentral:lncRNA from 1 species
UGUAUUCCAUCCAAUAGAUGACUGUGAGCAUCCACUUCUGUAUUUGCCAAGCACUGACAUAGCCUCACAAGAGACAGCUAUUAUCAGGGUCCUGUCAACAAAAAUCUUGCUGGCAUAUGCAAUAGUGUCUGGGUUUGGUGACUGAUUAUGGGAUGGAUCCCCGGGUGGGGCCUUUCUUCUUACUCUUAAAAAAAAAAAAAACUAUAAUAGCUGCACUAUUUCAAUGGCUAUGAUGUCUUUGAUUUUUACAGCUACUUUGGGUUGGAUAAUUACCAUUUCUUCAGUCAAUACUUACUGAUGACACUGGGGAUUUUUUCUAUCCUUUGCUCUUAAAAGUGCCACAUGUGUGUUUUCAUACUUUUGCUGAUACAGUUUUGAAAUGAAAUUCAGAUAUUCAAAGAAAAUGUUUUCAUUGAUAGUUUCUUAAAAAUUUAUGUAUUACGUAUACACUGCCUGCAUGUGUGCUUGCAAGUCAGAAGAGGGCACCAGAUCUCAUUAUAGACCGCUAUGAGCCACCAUGUGAUUGCUGGGAAUUGAACUCAGGACCUUUGGAAGAGCAGUCAGUGCUCUUAACCUCUGAGGCAUCUCUCCAGCCCCAAACCAAGUCAGUUGGUGGUGACACACACUUUCCUUUUCUUUAUUUAUUUUUUGGUUUUUCAAGACAAGGUUUCUCUGUACAGCCCUGGCUCUCCUGGAACUCACUGUGUAGACCAGGCUGGCCUCGAACUCAGAGGCUGCCUCUGCCUCCCAAGUGCUGGGAUUAAAGGCAUGCACCACCACUGCCCGGCUCAUUGAUAGUUUUAAACUCUCGAUAGAAGUUGUAUAGUAAGGUUUUUUUUUUGUCCCUGGUAGCAAUGCAUGAGAGACUGUUUCUCCUUAUUAGUAGAAUCUGUUCUCUGUCUCUGUAUUAGACUGUCACUGACAGAAACCUACAGGAAUAAGCAUAAAGGUUUAUUUUGGCUCGCAGUUUACGACUUCCACUGCAUUGUGAGGGAUGGUGUAGCAGAGUGGCUCAGUUCAUAGUAGAUGUUUGUAGUCCUGCUGCUCGCAUUGCAGUGGACCCACAAGCAGAGAGAAUACUUGAGCCAGCAGCUGAGCUUAACCCUCAAAUGGACACUCGAGUAAACCUGCUUCUAUCAGGUCCCCACCUCCUAAACCUUCUGUUCAAAACAGGAGCCUCUGGGGCCAUGCAGAUUCAAGCCAUAGUAUUCAGAAGAAGUACUACCACUCCCGUAGCUGGAAAAUAGCAUCUCGUUGAUCUUUAGCACUUCCUUUACAGAGACAGGAAUUGCAUCAUAUACAAAAGUAGUUAAGUAAAGAUUAAUUACACUGUAAUGAAGAGGGAAGAGGAAGAAGUUUGGAGGUCCGGUAAUUCAAGCUCAAGUUUCAUUACUUAUAAUCAGGGUAGCUGGGAAAGUGUCUUACACAACCAUUGUUAGAUUAUAUUGGUUACAAAGAUCAAACAAAAUAUGAAAAUUACUUUUUUAAGUAGCAGUGCCAAUCCUUGCCCAGAUCCAAUUUGAAGCAUCAUAGACAUUUAUACAUGGCUUUUACUUUAACAGUUCAGAAGCCAUUCAGCACAUUCGUAGUUCCUUGACCAUAUCAAGUCAUGGUAAACACCACAUUUGCCUGGAAGGCUCUGCCAAUAUCUGGGUGAUAUCUUACUUUUUUUUUCAAGGCCUGGCUUGGGUCUGAUUUUGAUUUCCUUGUGGAACCUAGGAAGACCAAAGUUUGUGCCCUUACCUCCAUACUUAGCAGUGUGCUUUGUUUACUCCUGGUGUGUGUGGUUUUGUUGUUGUUGUUACAAUAUUUAUUUUUUGUUCCACUCCUGGAAUUUGUCCUUACCUUUGUAUUCCUAGGACUUAACCCAGAGCCUCACAUACAGUAUUUACAAAUAAGUAAAUGUUUGAAUUAAACUGUAAGUUCCUUAGGAUUGAUAAUUAUGUCUCAUUGCUAUACCUAAAUCUUGCUUUCCUGGGGUUGAAAAUAGUUUGGUGGGAUAGUGAUACUGAUCACAGUUCCAAAGUUACCACUGCCAAUGAACACUAGUGUGAUACUUCUCUGUCUGUCUGUCUGUCUGUCUUUUCUUUUUUUGGUUGUUGUUGAAAGUGAUUGGAAGCUUUCAAUGUAUGUGUUUGCAUUUUAUAAAUAAUGUAACUAAUAAAAGAUUGAAGCAAC